GACGAACGCUGGCGGCGUGCUUAACACAUGCAAGUCGAACGGAAAGGCCCUGCUUUUGUGGGGUGCUCGAGUGGCGAACGGGUGAGUAACACGUGAGUAACCUGCCCUUGACUUUGGGAUAACUUCGGGAAACUGGGGCUAAUACCGGAUAGGAGCUCCUGCUGCAUGGUGGGGGUUGGAAAGUUUCGGCGGUUGGGGAUGGACUCGCGGCUUAUCAGCUUGUUGGUGGGGUAGUGGCUUACCAAGGCUUUGACGGGUAGCCGGCCUGAGAGGGUGACCGGCCACAUUGGGACUGAGAUACGGCCCAGACUCCUACGGGAGGCAGCAGUGGGGAAUAUUGCACAAUGGGCGGAAGCCUGAUGCAGCAACGCCGCGUGCGGGAUGACGGCCUUCGGGUUGUAACCGCUUUCGCCUGUGACGAAGCGUGAGUGACGGUAAUGGGUAAAGAAGCACCGGCUAACUACGUG
rnacentral:rRNA from 1 species